AUACGGAGGGUGCAAGCGUUGUUCGGAAUUACUGGGCGUAAAGCGCGUGUAGGCGGCUUGUUAAGUCAGAUGUGAAAGCCCUGGGCUCAACCCAGGAAGUGCAUUUGAAACUGGCAGGCUUGAGUACGGGAGAGGAGAGUGGAAUUCCUAGUGUAGAGGUGAAAUUCGUAGAUAUUAGGAGGAACACCCGUGGCGAAGGCGGCUCUCUGGCCCAGUACUGACGCUGAGACGCGAAAGCGUGGGGAGCAAACAGGAUUAGAUACCCGAGUAGUCC
rnacentral:rRNA from 1 species